rnacentral:rRNA from 1 species
AACGUUCUAUAGGUUUAUUAGGUGUAAAGAGUGAUUUUGAAUGUGAAUAGGAAUCAGUUUAUCAACAGGUAUCGGCUUAUCUUUUCCUAAUGUUUCUUUGAUGAGGUGAAUUAGAUUCUAGAUUUGAUGUGGUGUAGAAAUGUUAAUUGUAAUAGUGAAAUGUAUAUAUAAUUGGUAUAAAAUUUAUUUGAUAUUGGUAGCUUGAAAAGGUAGAUAUUCUAUUCACGAAAGCUUGAGGUGUGACAGGGAUUAGAGACCCCCCUAAUUUUAUAAAUUAAUUCUGGGAAAUUGUCUUGUGGAUCUAUUUUUAACAAAUUAAGGUUCUUAACCUAAGGAGUACGCUUUCACUUGUGAAACUUAAAUGUUCUGGUGGUGGUUUAGAACAAUAGUGGAAUAGAUGAUUUAAUUCGAUGUUAUGCGAUAAAGCUUAUCAGUUAUCUGAAAUAAUACCUAGGUAUAGGUAGAAUUCUAUUCGAGGAAGUGCAUGGCUGUUGGAGGGUAAUGUUUUGUAAUAUCUGGUUUCGGACAGGAAUAGCCGAUACA